AUUCCAUUCCUUCGUGGAUCACUAAGAGGAAAUAUCCUCUUAUUUAUCUUGCUCAUUUCAGGACCGCAUUAAUUAAGCUACUUGGACCCCGCACGCAUUGGGACGCGACACUCCAGCUGGGCCACCUGCAGUUGGGGAUCCGUCAAGUCUCCCGUCAGCGGCAGAUUCCCCAUCCAGAUCUCCCAACAACGCCCCCCACCUUGAGCGGCCAUCCCAUCACGCUAUCGACUCCAAAUGCUCAAAGCUACGUGAGCAAUGAAGGUCAUCCGGUGUAACGCGGGAAAUUAUGUAAUUUUACCUUGUUAUCCAGAAAAUUAUGAUUAAUUGACAAAUUAUUACUUGGGACAGGCAAAACAAUUAAAUGCUCUUGCAUUACAUGGCAAUCUAUACUGUA